rnacentral:rRNA from 1 species
AACGAACGCUGGCGGCAUGCCCAACACAUGCAAGUCGAACGAUGCUUUCGGGCAUAGUGGCGCACGGGUGCGUAACGCGUGGGAAUCUGCCCUUGGGUUCGGGAUAACCGUUGGAAACGACGGCUAAUACCGGAUGAUGACGUAAGUCUAAAGAUUUAUCGCCCAGGGAUGAGCCCGCGUCCGUUUAGGUAGUUGGUGGGGUAAAGGCCUACCAAGCCGACGAUCGGUAGAUGGUCUGAGAGGAUGAUCAGAGACACUGGGACUGAGACACGGCCCAGACUCCUACGGGAGGCAGCAGUGGGGAAUAUUGGACAAUGGGCGAAAGCAUGAUCCAGCAAUGGCGCGUGAGUGAUGAAGGCCUGAGGGUUGUAAAGCUUUUUUACCCGGGAUGAUAAUGACAGUACCGGGAGAAUAAGCCCCGGCUAACUCCGUGCCAGCAGCCGCCGUAA